AGAACGAACGCUGGCGGCAUGCCUAAUACAUGCAAGUCGAACGAACACUUCGGUGUUAGUGGCGCACGGGUGCGUAACGCGUGGGAAUCUGCCCUUGGGUUCGGAAUAACAGUUGGAAACGACUGCUAAUACCGGAUGAUAUCGAAAGAUCAAAGAUUUAUCGCCCAGGGAUGAGCCCGCGUAGGAUUAGCUAGUUGGUGAGGUAAAGGCUCACCAAGGCGACGAUCCUUAGCUGGUCUGAGAGGAUGAUCAGCCACACUGGGACUGAGACACGGCCCAGACUCCUACGGGAGGCAGCAGUAGGGAAUAUUGGACAAUGGGCGCAAGCCUGAUCCAGCAAUGCCGCGUGAGUGAUGAAGGCCUUAGGGUUGUAAAGCUCUUUUACCCGAGAUGAUAAUGACAGUAUCGGAGAAUAAGCCCCGGCUAACUCCGUGCCAGCAGCCGC
rnacentral:rRNA from 1 species